UACGAGGGGGGCGAGCGUUGUUCGGAAUUAUUGGGCGUAAAGGGCGCGUAGGCGGUCGGAUAAGUCUUGUGUGAAAUCUUCGGGCUCAACUCGAAGUCUGCACAGGAAACUAUCUGGCUUGAGUGUGGGAGAGGUGAGUGGAAUUCCUGGUGUAGCGGUGAAAUGCGUAGAUAUCAGGAGGAACACCUGCGGUGUAGACGGCUUUCUGGACCAUUGUUGACGCUGAGACACGAAAGCGUGGGUAGCAAACAGG
rnacentral:rRNA from 1 species